UCAGGCCUAAACACAUGCAAGUCGAGCGAACAGACGAGGAGCUUGCUCCUUUGACGUUAGCGGCGGACGGGUGAGUAACACGUGGGUAACCUACCUAUAAGACUGGGAUAACUUCGGGAAACCGGAGCUAAUACCGGAUAAUAUUUCGAACCGCAUGGUUCGAUAGUGAAAGAUGGCUCUGCUAUCACUUAUAGAUGGACCUGCGCCGUAUUAGCUAGUUGGUAAGGUAACGGCUUACCAAGGCAACGAUACGUAGCCGACCUGAGAGGGUGAUCGGCCACACUGGAACUGAGACACGGUCCAGACUCCUACGGGAGGCAGCAGUAGGGAAUCUUCCGCAAUGGGCGAAAGCCUGACGGAGCAACGCCGCGUGAGUGAUGAAGGUCUUCGGAUCGUAAAACUCUGUUAUUAGGGAAGAACAAACGUGUAAGUAACUGUGCACGUCUGAC
rnacentral:rRNA from 1 species